AACGAACGCUGGCGGCAGGCCUAACACAUGCAAGUCGAGCGGACCCUUCGGGGUUAGCGGCGGACGGGUGAGUAACGCGUGGGAACGUGCCCUUUGCUUCGGAAUAGCCCUGGGAAACUGGGAGUAAUACCGGAUACGCCCUUUUGGGGAAAGAUUUAUCGGCGAAGGAUCGGCCCGCGUUGGAUUAGGUAGUUGGUGGGGUAAUGGCCUACCAAGCCGACGAUCCAUAGCUGGUUUGAGAAGAUGAUCAGCCACACUGGGACUGAGACACGGCCCAGACUCCUACGGGAGGCAGCAGUGGGGAAUCUUAGACAAUGGGGGAAACCCUGAUCUAGCCAUGCCGCGUGAGCGAUGAAGGCCUUAGGGUUGUAAAGCUCUUUCACCGGGGAAGAUAAUGACGGUACCCGGAGAAGAAGCCCCGGCUAACUCCGUG
rnacentral:rRNA from 1 species